GUGGGGAAUUUUGGACAAUGGGCGCAAGCCUGAUCCAGCAAUGCCGCGUGCAGGAAGAAGGCCUUCGGGUUGUAAACUGCUUUUGUACGGAACGAAACGGUUCUGGUUAAUACCCGGGGCUAGUGACGGUACCGUAAGAAUAAGCACCGGCUAACUACGUGCCAGCAGCCGCGGUAAUACGUAGGGUGCAAGCGUUAAUCGGAAUUACUGGGCGUAAAGCGUGCGCAGGCGGUUGUGUAAGACAGGCGUGAAAUCCCCGGGCUCAGCCUGGGAAUUGCGCUUGUGACUGCAGUGCUGGGAAGCGGCAGAGGGGGAUGGAAUUCCACGUGUAGCAGUGAAAUGCGUAGAUAUGCGGAGGAACACCGAUGGCGAAGGCAAUCCCCUGGGCCUGCACUGACGCUCAUGCACGAAAGCGUGGGGAGCAAACAGGAUUAGAAACCCUGGUAGUCC
rnacentral:rRNA from 1 species